GACGGAGGAUGCAAGUGUUAUCCGGAAUCACUGGGCUUAAAGCGUACGCAGGCGGAUUGGUAGGUAUCUCGUGAAAUCCCACGGCUCAACCGUGGAACUGCGGGGUAAACCACCAAUCUUGAGGCAGGUAGGGGUCAACGGAACCAUGUGUGGACCGGUGAAAUGGAUAGAUAUACAUGGGAACGCCAAUGGCGAAGGCAGUUGACUGGGCCUGACCUGACGCUCAGGUACGAAAGCGUGGGGAGCGAACGGG
rnacentral:rRNA from 1 species